CAAACCAUCUUGCAUCUUGAGCGUUCGGUGCCGUCCCUCGAGAAGUUAUCGGACGCAAAAAAUCCAACGCCUGGCCGUGUUCAUAACUGCACCACGUCUCCAAGGUGUGUAGCCACAGGCU
rnacentral:rRNA from 11 species